rnacentral:rRNA from 7 species
AAAGAAACCAACAGGGAUUGCCCUAGUAACGGCGAGUGAAGCGGCAACAGCUCAAAUUUGAAAUCUGGCCCUCGGGUCCGAGUUGUAAUUUGUAGAGGAUGCUUUUGGUGAGGUACCUUCCGAGUUCCCUGGAACGGGACGCCAUAGAGGGUGAGAGCCCCGUCUGGUUGGAUACCGAGCCUCUGUAAAGCUCCUUCGACGAGUCGAGUAGUUUGGGAAUGCUGCUCUAAAUGGGAGGUAUAUGUCUUCUAAAGCUAAAUACCGGCCAGAGACCGAUAGCGCACAAGUAGAGUGAUCGAAAGAUGAAAAGCACUUUGAAAAGAGAGUUAAAAAGUACGUGAAAUUGUUGAAAGGGAAGCGCUUAUGACCAGACUUGGGCUUGGUUGAUCAUCCUGGGUUCUCCCUGGUGCACUCUUCCAGUUCAGGCCAGCAUCAGUUCGCUGCGGGGGAUAAAAGUUUUGGGAAUGUGGCUCCCUCGGGAGUGUUAUAGCCCAUUUCAUAAUACCCUGCUCCGGACUGAGGUUCGCGCAUCUGCAAGGAUGCUGGCGUAAUGGUCAUCAGCGACCCGUCUUGAAACACGGACCAAGGAGUCGUCUUCGUAUGCGAGUGUUCGGGUGUUAAACCCCUACGCGUAAUGAAAGUGAACGCAGGUGAGAGCUUCGGCGCAUCAUCGACCGAUCCUGAUGUUCUCGGAUGGAUUUGAGUAAGAGCAUACGGGGCCGGACCCGAAAGAAGGUGAACUAUGCCUGUAUAGGGUGAAGCCAGAGGAAACUCUGGUGGAGGCUCGCAGCGGUUCUGACGUGCAAAUCGAUCGUCAAAUAUGGGCAUGGGGGCGAAAGACUAAUCGAACCUUCUAGUAGCUGGUU